rnacentral:lncRNA from 1 species
CUAAUACCAAGAGGUCCAAGAGGAUUUGCCACUCUAUAAAAGCUUUGGGAUGGUUUAUCUUUGUAAGUGUUAGAGGAAUGGACUAUAAUCAAAACAUUCAGAGGUGCUUUGCAGAUAUUUCUGAUUUCAUGCAUACCAGUGAUGCCGUGUGAACUGAAGUGUGACUGUAUCCAAAGUCUGUGGAUAUUUGGAUUUCCGUUUAAAGCUUAGGACAAUCCAUUUUACCUGGAUUGUUGCUGCCUUUGAAGACCUGUGAACAUUUUUUUUUUCUUUUGAAGUGAUUAUAUUGUACUUCUUGGUAUGUAACUGAAUGCCAUUUGUAUGUGCAGGCAUACAGACUGAGUCUAUGGAUGAAGAUGUUAAAGUACUCUCGCUCCUACCCUGUAAUCUUGAUUUUGGGACACUGAUAUUACCAGAUAAGGAGAACAGGGAUUUGAUCCAAGGACUGCUGAAGACACUGUCUCAUGCUUCACAGGCAUGUUGAUCUGGGCCUUGCAGAGAGGUAGAAGAAACUUGCUGUGUUCACAACAUAGAGGAUUCUAUUAGCUGUGUAUAUUUUUUUAGCGUAGUGAGCUAUAAAUGCAUUAAAGUUUUUAUGAAUUCAUAUUAUUUUAAAGAGCUUCUAAAUCUCGUAUCCAACUAUUCUAUACAUGAUAUUUACUCUGUGUAGUACUUGUUAGAUGAUGUAACCAGUUAACCUAGGCUAUUAAGCUCAUAUGAACCCAGAAAAAUGGGACGUGAAAGAAACCUUUGCCAAAUUAUUCAAGUGAGAACAUUUUCUAAUAGAGUUUUGAGCUCCUGAUCUUGUCCUUUCAGUGCU